rnacentral:rRNA from 1 species
AUACGGAGGGUGCAAGCGUUACUCGGAAUCACUGGGCGUAAGGCGCGCGCAGGCGGCUAUUUAAGUUGGAUGUGAAAGCCUAUGGCUCAACCAUAGAACUGCAUCCAAAACUAUUUAGCUAGAGUGUGGGAGAGGAAGAUGGAAUUAGUUGUGUAGGGGUAAAAUCCGUAGAGAUAACUAGGAAUACCAAAAGCGAAGGCAAUCUUCUGGAACACUACUGACGCUGAGGCGCGAAAGCGUUGGGAGCAAACAGGAUUAGAAACCCUAGUAGUCC